rnacentral:rRNA from 1 species
AUACGGGGGAUCCAAGCGUUAUCCGGAUUUAUUGGGUUUAAAGGGUGCGCAGGCGGCCUUAUAAGUCAGUGGUGAAAUCUCCCGGCUCAACCGGGAAACUGCCAUUGAUACUGUAAGGCUAGAAUACAGACGAGGUAGGCGGAAUGUAGCAUGUAGCGGUGAAAUGCUUAGAUAUGCUACAGAACACCGAUCGCGAAGGCAGCUUACCAGACUGUAAUUGACGCUAAGGCACGAAAGCGUGGGGAGCGAACAGGAUUAGAAACCCCGGUAGUCC